AUUGAACGCUGGCGGCAGGCCUAACACAUGCAAGUCGAGCUAGAGGCGGACGGGUGAGUAAUGUCUGGGGACUGCCCGUUAGAGGGGGAUAACUACUGGCAACGGUAUCUAAUAUCGCAUAUUCUCGCAUAACCCAAAUGGGAUUAGCGAGUAUGUGAGGUAACGUCUCACCUAGGCGACGAUCCCUAGCUGGUCUGAGAGGAUGAGCAGCCACACUGGGACUGAGACACGGCCCAGACUCCGACGGAGGCAGCAGUGGGGAAUAUUGCACAAUGGGCGCAAUCCUGAUGCAGCCAUGCCGCGUGUAUGAAGAAGGCCCUAGGGUUGUAAAGUACUUUCAGUCGGGAGGCGUUACCGACAGAAGAAGCACCGGCUAACUCCGUGCCAGCAGCCGCGGUAAUAC
rnacentral:rRNA from 1 species